GCUUGCGUAGCUCAGUCGGUAGAGCGGCUGAUUUGUAAUCAGCAGGUCGGGGGUUCAAAUCCGUCCGCAAGCUCCA
rnacentral:tRNA from 1 species